rnacentral:rRNA from 1 species
GUAGGUGGCAAGCGUUGUCCGGAAUUAUUGGGCGUAAAGCGCGCGCAGGCGGUUCUUUAAGUCUGAUGUGAAAGCCCACGGCUCAACCGUGGAGGGUCAUUGGAAACUGGAGAACUUGAGUACAGAAGAGGAAAGCGGAAUUCCACGUGUAGCGGUGAAAUGCGUAGAGAUGUGGAGGAACACCAGUGGCGAAGGCGGCUUUCUGGUCUGUAACUGACGCUGAGGCGCGAAAGCGUGGGGAGCAAACAGGGAUUAGAUACCCUGGUAGUCCACGCCGUAAACGAUGAGUGCUAAGUGUUAGGGGGGUUUUCCGGCCCCCUUAGUGCUGCAGCUAACGCAUUAAGCACUCCGCCUGGGGAGUACGGCCACAAGGCUG